CGCUGUCUCUGUAGAAGAACGGAAACCCAAGAUCAGACUGCAGAAAGAAACCAAUUUCGAAGCCUUUCAGCCAUGAGAGCUAAGUGGAAGAAGAAGCGUAUGAGAAGGUUGAAGAGGAAGAGAUGAGGCAAAGAUCUAAGUAGUCCUUUUAAUUUUUGUCUUCACGGCUAUUUGUUUGAUGAGCGCAUUUUGUUUUAAUGGUUGAAUGGUGUCUUUCAUUUUUCAUGGCUUAGUUUUCUUGUAUCUUUGUUGAACCAUUUUCAUUUUAUUGAUUAAUGUUGGAGCUUUUUUGCUUUAA